rnacentral:rRNA from 1 species
AUUGAACGCUGGCGGCAGGCCUAACACAUGCAAGUCGAACGGUAACAGGAAGAAGCUUGCUUCUUUGCUGACGAGUGGCGGACGGGUGAGUAAUGUCUGGGAAACUGCCUGAUGGAGGGGGAUAACUACUGGAAACGGUAGCUAGUACCGCAUAAUGUCGCAAGACCAAAGAGGGGGACCUUCGGGCCUCUUGCCAUCGGAUGUGCCCAGAUGGGAUUAGCUAGUAGGUGGGGUAACGGCUCACCUAGGCGACGAUCCCUAGCUGGUCUGAGAGGAUGACCAGCCACACUGGAACUGAGACACGGUCCAGACUCCUACGGGAGGCAGCAGUGGGGAAUAUUGCACACUGGGCGCAAGCCUGAUGCAGCUACGCCGCGUGUAUGAAGAAGGCCUGCGGGUUGUAAAGUACUUUCAGCGGGGAGGAAGGGAGUAAAGUUAAUACCUUUGCUCAUGGACGUUACCCGCAGAAGAAGCACCGGCUAACUCC